UACGUAGGGUGCAAGCGUUAAUCGGAAUUACUGGGCGUAAAGCGUGCGCAGGCGGCUUUGCAGGACAGAUGUGAAAUCCCCGGGCUUAACCUGGGAACUGCAUUUGUGACUGCAAGGCUGGAGUGCGGCAGAGGGGGAUGGAAUUCCGCGUGUAGCAGUGAAAUGCGUAGAUAUGCGGAGGAACACCGAUGGCGAAGGCAAUCCCCUGGGCCUGCACUGACGCUCAUGCACGAAAGCGUGGGGAGCAAACAGG
rnacentral:rRNA from 1 species